UACGUAGGGUGCGAGCGUUGUCCGGAAUUACUGGGCGUAAAGAGCUCGUAGGUGGUUUGUCGCGUUGUUCGUGAAAACUCACAGCUCAACUGUGGGCGUGCGGGCGAUACGGGCAGACUGGAGUACUGCAGGGGAGACUGGAAUUCCUGGUGUAGCGGUGGAAUACGCAGAUAUCAGGAGGAACACCGGUGGCGAAGGCGGGUCUCUGGGCAGUAACUGACGCUGAGGAGCGAAAGCGUGGGGAGCGAACAGG
rnacentral:rRNA from 1 species